rnacentral:rRNA from 1 species
UUCGGCCUCGGGGCGCAGCAGUGAAGAAUAUUGGUCAAUGGGCGCGAGCCUGAACCAGCCAAGUAGCGUGAAGGAUGACUGCCCUACGGGUUGUAAACUUCUUUUAUAAAGGAAUAAAGUGAGGCAUGUGUGCCUUUUUGUAUGUACUUUAUGAAUAAGGAUCGGCUAACUCCGUGCCAGCAGCCGCGGUAAUACGGAGGAUCCGAGCGUUAUCCGGAUUUAUUGGGUUUAAAGGGAGCGUAGAUGGGUUGUUAAGU